CCUACGGGAGGCUGCAGUGGGGAAUAUUGGACAAUGGGCGAAAGCCUGAUCCAGCAAUGCCGCGUGAGUGAUGAAGGCCUUAGGGUUGUAAAGCUCUUUUACCAGGGAUGAUAAUGACAGUACCUGGAGAAUAAGCUCCGGCUAACUCCGUGCCAGCAGCCGCGGUAAUACGGAGGGAGCUAGCGUUGUUCGGAAUUACUGGGCGUAAAGCGCACGUAGGCGGCUUUUCAAGUCAGGGGUGAAAUCCCGGGGCUCAACCCCGGAACUGCCCUUGAAACUGGAUGGCUAGAAUACUGGAGAGGUGAGUGGAAUUCCGAGUGUAGAGGUGAAAUUCGUAGAUAUUCGGAAGAACACCAGUGGCGAAGGCGACUCACUGGACAGUUAUUGACGCUGAGGUGCGAAAGCGUGGGGAGCAAACAGGAUUAGAUACCCGAGUAGUC
rnacentral:rRNA from 1 species